GACGAACGCUGGCGGCGUGCUUAACACAUGCAAGUCGAACGGAAAGGCCUGCUUUCCCUUGUGGAUUGCGGGUACUCGAGUGGCGAACGGGUGAGUAACACGUGAGUGAUCUGCCCCCAACUUGGGUAUAAGCCUGGGAAACUGGGUCUAAUUCCCGAUAGGACUGCAGGGUGGUGCCUGUGGUGGAAAACGAUUUUCUAGUGGUUGGGGAUGAGCUCGCGGCCUAUCAGCUUGUUGGUGGGGUAAUGGCCUACCAAGGCGGCGACGGGUAGCCGGCCUGAGAGGGUGGACGGCCACAUUGGGACUGGGACACGGCCCAGACUCCUACGGGAGGCAGCAGUGGGGAAUAUUACACAAUGGGCGGAAGCCUGAUGCAGCGACGCCGCGUGGGGGAUGACGGCCUUCGGGUUGUAAACUCCUUUCGACCGCGAGGAAGCCACCUGGUUGGAAGGGUGGUGACGGUAGUGGUAGAAGAAGCACCGGCUAACUACGUG
rnacentral:rRNA from 1 species